CGGUGCGGGGAAACUCGUUGACAGGGAGGAGUAACAGAAGCAGCAGCAGCAAUGUUGCCCCCGGGCCUGCCUGCCUUCCUCCUUCCUUCCCUUCCCUUCCACCGAAACCAGGGCUCCUCCUGACAGUCCUGAUGUGGAGAGAGAGAGAGAAAGAGAGUCCCCACUCUUUCCCCGACUACUAUUACUUCUUCGCCUCCUUCUCCCAGUUCCACGAAAUUAAUGAUUUCUCAUAUAUAUGACAAUAAUAACGCUGUGUUGGGGCUGUUGAAAUCUUGAGGUGUGCUUCUUUUCUCCUCCUCGGCGGGAUUUCCCCCCUCCCUCGCGCCUCGGUGAAGAAGGGAGGGGGGCGUCCUGUUGGAGGAAGGAGCAGGAAGGCAGGCGUGGAGAAGAGAGGAGAUGGGGGGGGGGCUCACUCCGGAAUCGCCGCCGCUCUUCCCUCAGAGCCCCUCAGCCAAAGCAAUGGGGGGAAGAGGAGGAGGAGGGAAUGGGGAAGAGAACCAAACCGAAACGGGGAAGAAAUUAAAAGGGGGUGAAGGGGGGGAAAGGGGAGGAAAGGCGCGUCUGGGCGGGCGCGGGGCUACUCCCGGCGCGGCAUGGUGUCGGCAGGGCUCGCCUCGCCUUUCAUUCAAACCCCCUCCUCCUCCUCCUCUUGUGGGUGGACCUAACCCUGGCAGAGAGAGGAGACUGUGCGUGUGUGUGUGAGAGAGAAAAAAAAGCCUCUCCCUCGAGGAGACGACGCAGUCCGGGAAGCUGCAGUGUUCCCUCAGAGAAGAAAAGGACGGGGAAGCCAACGCGGGAGGAGGGCUGGGCUGCCUCCUCGCCUGCCUCCCCGCCUGGCUGGCUGGCUGGUUUCCCCGGCCCCUCAGCCAAGGAAAGCCAAGGCGGGCUCAGGGCGACGCUCCCGAACGCGGGGCAAGGCGAGCGAGGGAGAGAGAGAAAGAAAGAGAGAGGAGGCGUCGCUGUUGCCAGUGCCUUUCUCAGCCUCCUCCUCCUGCCUUCCUUCCAGAGACUCCUCAAAGUUGCCCAGCCAAGAGGCACACACAAAAGAGAGGGGCCAAGGAAGCGAGCUGGGCAAAACAAUACCCCAAACCCUUUCGCGCCUUUUUCAUGUCCUUAUGGGCAUGGGAACGGCGCGAGGACGCUUUGUGCUCACCAAAGGCGCGAGGACACUUUGGGCUCACCAGGAGGGCGGGGGAACCAGCCUCCCUCCCUACGUGUGAGGCUACUUCACCCACCGGAUGAGAGACUCCCUCCUGGGCAUACAGAAGAGUGGGCGACUUGGAAGGCACUGAACAGACUGCGCUUUCACACCACGAGAUGCAGAGCCAGGCUUAAGAAAUGAGGCUGCAAAGUGGAGUCCACGACAUGCGAGUGUGGAGAAGAGCAAACCACAGACCACCUACUGCAAUGUAGUCUGAGCCCCGCCACAUGCACAGUGGAGGGCCUUCUUACAGCAACACCAGAGGCACUCCAAGUGGCCAGCCAUGGGUCAAAGAACAUUUCGUAUAAUGCCAAGUUGUUUGUAUGUUUGUUUUUAACUUUGUGUUUUCAAAUACAUUACAAUUUGUACUCUCAGUUUGCUUCUGACAUGAUAAAUAAAUAUCCACGAAGGCAUCCUAGAAAGUCAGCCAUGAACAGCAUAUUAUUGGACAACACAGAAAUGCUGGACCACUCUAACAACCACUAUGCCAGACUAUUGAAAGCCACUGAAAUCCACAAGCAUGUGGCCAAUUUCAACAUGGAGGAAACCAUGAAAAUGAACAAAAUCUGGCUACCAGUAUUUUUUUAAAAAAACAAAAAAAACAAAAACUAUGAAAUCAGGACAGUAAAUAAAGAACAACACUCAGAAAACGAGAAUUUCAGACAUGAAACAAUCAGGGCCAGCUAACACCUCCUAACAAAUGAUUACCCCAGGCAGGAAGCAGCCAGACCUUGAAGCUGAAAGGCCAUUGAGUGCUAAUCAAGGUAGCCAACUGAAAUAUUCACGCCUGCCUCAAACCGACAAGAGUUCUUUCUCCCACCCUGAACAUUCCACAGAUCUAUAAACCCCACUUGACUAGUUUCCAACAGACCUCAUUACCUCUGAGGAUGCCUGCCAUAGAUGCAAGUGAAACAUCAAGAAAGAAUGCUUCUGGAACAUGGCCAUACAGCCCGGAAAACUCACAACAACUCAGUCAUGAAUCUCAGGCCUGGCAUAGCCUCCCCCAAUCUAGUGCCUUUCCGAGGAUGUUGCUUGGGCACCAUCAAGUCCCAUUCAUGAGGGUUCUCUCAAAGGAGUUCCUUGCCAGGAUUUGUUCAAAAGGGGUUAGAACAGGCAUGGGCAAACUUAGGCCCUCCAGGUGUUUUGAACUUCAGCUCCUGCAAUUCCUAACAGCAGGCUGUUAGGAAUUGUGGUAGUUAAAUUCCAAAACACCUGGAGGGCCGAAGUUUGCCCAUGCCUGGGUUGGAAUGAGAGAGACUUGUCCAACAAUAAUAAAUAAAUAUUUAUAUCCUGCAUUUCUCCCACAAAGGGACCCAAAAUGCCUUCCAACAUAUUAAAUACAGUACAAAACAACAGCAAUUAAAACACAUUUAUAAACAUAAAACAAUAAACAAAUACUCAUUUUAAAAACAACUUCACUCCAGUCGAUAAAAAUUAACCUUCCUGACACUUCCGUCUAGGUUUCUUCACUGAAGGCUUUCCUAAACAGAAAGGUUUUCAUCUGCUUUUUGAAGGAAGAAAGAGAGGAUGCUGUUUUAAUUUCCUUGGGGAGGGUAUUCCAAAAGCUCGGGGCAGCCACCGAGGAAGUCCUCUCUUUUGUCGCCACCAACCACAUUUGGAAGGGUGGUGGAAGCAAGAGUAGGGCCUCCCCUGAUGAUUUUAGGGAUCGGGCAAGUUGGUAUGAGGAGAUGUGGUUGGACAAGUAAGUUAGACCUGAACUGUUUAGUUCUUUAAAGGUCAAAACCACCACCUUGAAUCGGGCUCGGAAACAAAUAUAUUACACAGAUUAAAAACACAAAAAUAGAGAACUACCUGUAUAUAUUUCAGCCAGCAUCACAUGGAAGGACAGUGGAGUAGACAGACAAUUUGAGACUGGAGAUUAUGGGCUAAUUGACAGUGCUGGUACUUAUGGUCUUAUGGGAUGUAUGUGGCAAUGUGUCUGCACAGUAAUGUGUAUAACCCAACUGUGGCAGGUUUAAUUCCAAUACUGUGUGAUGGAUCCCUACCCCUUCAGACCAUAUACAACCAAUAAUAAGGACCACAGUCCUCUCUUGUUGUUCCACAGAAACUGUUAUUC
ensembl:lncRNA